UCAAUAAAACUUUAACAUGUGUUAUGACUAUUGUAAAAUUUGAAGAACAGAAGUACUGUAUUUUUUCACAUUGCGUAUUUGAGUUUUAAUUGUAGCUUUUUGUUGUCACCAUUUUGUAUCGUCUUCAUCACGUGACGUGUUCAUGUUUAUUUUUUGAAGAUUUUGUUGCAAGCAAUGUUGGAAUCCUAUUUAUUUGAUUGGUCCUUACUGCUGUCAUUGGCUUUACGUGAUGGACCGUUAGUUAACCAAGUCGUUCAAGAUAUUUUGUUGUCUGGCAUUGAUGAACUAGCUCUGGAAAACUUCAUUCGUCUUAGAGAUGGCAUAAAAAACUUAGAAAAUUGGGCACAGCGUGAAUGGGAUACAGUGUAUUUUUUGGUCUGUUUAAACCACAAUGGAGUGCUCUUUCCGAUUUGAUAACUUCAGUUACCACUCGCUUGGCAGAAGCUCAGAAAACAAGCGCUAGAGUAUCUGAGCAAGUAGAUGUUGACAA